rnacentral:misc_RNA from 1 species
UAUGAAGAACGUAGUGAAAUGCGAUAAGUAAUGUGAAUUGCAGAAUUCAGUGAAUCAUCGCAUCUUUGAACGCACAUUGCGCCCGCCAGUAUUCUGGCGGGCAUGCCUGUUCGAGCGUCAUUUCAACCAUCAAGCCCCCGGCUUGUGUUGGGGACCUGCGGCUGCCGCAGGCCCUGAAAAGCAGUGGCGGGCUCGCUGUCACACCGAGCGUAGUAGCAUACAUCUCGCUCUGGGCGUGCUGCGGGUUCCGGCCGUUAAACCACCUUCAUAACCCAAGGUUGACCUCGGAUCAGGUAGGAAGACCCGCUGAACUUAAGCAUAUCAAUAAGCGGAGGA